rnacentral:rRNA from 1 species
GGAUUCCCCUAGUAACUGCGAGUGAAGCGGGAAAAGCUCAAAUUUAAAAUCUGGCGGUCUUUGGCCGUCCGAGUUGUAGUCUGGAGAAGUGCUUUCCGCGCUGGACCGUGUACAAGUCUCUUGGAAUAGAGCGUCAUAGAGGGUGAGAAUCCCGUCUUUGACACGGACUGCCAGUGCUUUGUGAUGCGCUCUCAAAGAGUCGAGUUGUUUGGGAAUGCAGCUCAAAAUGGGUGGUAAAUUCCAUCUAAAGCUAAAUAUUGGCGAGAGACCGAUAGCGAACAAGUACCGUGAGGGAAAGAUGAAAAGCACUUUGGAAAGAGAGUUAAACAGUACGUGAAAUUGCUGAAAGGGAAACACUUGAAGUCAGUCGCGUUGUGCAGAACUCAACCUUGCUUUUCGCUUGGUGCACUUUCUGUACGACGGGCCAGCAUCGAUUUCGACCGUCGGAAAAGGAUUGAAGGAAUGUGGCACCUCCGGGUGUGUUAUAGCCUUCGGUCGCAUACGUCGGUUGGGAUCGAGGAACGCAGCGCGCCGCAAGGUGGGCCUUCGGGCUACAUUCGCGCUUAGGAUGCUGGCGUAAUGGCUUUAAAUGACCCGUCUUGAAACACGGACCAAGGAGUCUAACAUGCCUGCGAGUGUUUGGGUGGAAAACCCGAGCGCGUAAUGAAAGUGAAAG